GCCCAGACUCCUACGGGAGGCAGCAGUUGGGAAUCUUGGACAAUGGGGGAAACCCUGAUCCAGCCAUGCCGCGUGAGUGAUGAAGGCCUUCGGGUUGUAAAACUCUUUCGACGGGGACGAUAAUGACGGUACCCGUAGAAGAAGCUCCGGCUAACUUCG
rnacentral:rRNA from 1 species